rnacentral:rRNA from 1 species
AGUGAACGCUGGCGGUAGGCCUAACACAUGCAAGUCGAACGGCAGCACAGUAAGAGCUUGCUCUUACGGGUGGCGAGUGGCGGACGGGUGAGGAAUACAUCGGAAUCUACUUUUUCGUGGGGGAUAACGUAGGGAAACUUACGCUAAUACCGCAUACGACCUACGGGUGAAAGCAGGGGAUCUUCGGACCUUGCGCGAUUGAAUGAGCCGAUGUCGGAUUAGCUAGUUGGCGGGGUAAAGGCCCACCAAGGCGACGAUCCGUAGCUGGUCUGAGAGGAUGAACAGCCACACUGGAGCUGAGACACGGUCCAGACUCCGACGGGAGGCAGCAGUGGGGAAUAGUGGACAAUGUGCGCAAGCCUGAUCCAGCCAUGGCGCGUGGGUGAAGAAGGCCUGCGGGUUGUAAAGCCCUUUUGUUGGGAAAGAAAAGCAUCAGGUUAAUACCCCGCUGUUCUGACGGUACCCAAAGAAUAAGCACCGGCAAACUUCGU